rnacentral:rRNA from 1 species
UGCCAGCCGCCGCGGUAAUACCGGCGCCUCAAGUGGUAGUCGCUUUUAUUGGGCCUAAAACGUCCGUAGCCGGUCUGGUACAUUCGUGGGUAGAUCAACUCGCUCAACGAGUUGAAUUCUGCGAGGACGGCCAGACUUGGGACCGGGAGAGGUGUGGGGUACUCUCAGGGUAGGGAUAAAAUCCUGUCAUCCUGAGAGGACCACCUGUUGCGAAGGCUCCACACUAGAACGGAUCCGACGGUCAGGGACGAAGCCUAGGGGCACGAACCGGAUUAGAUA